rnacentral:rRNA from 1 species
AACGCUGGCGGCGCGCUUAACACAUGCAAGUCGAACGAGAAAGCCCGCAAGGGUGAGUAAAGUGGCGUACGGGUGAGUAACACGUGGGUAAUCUACCUUUUGGUGGGGAAUAACCCUGGGAAACCGGGGCUAAUACCGCAUAAGCUCGAAAGAGGAAAGGAGCAAUUCGCCGAAAGAGGAGCCCGCGGCUGAUUAGCUAGUUGGUGAGGUAAAGGCUCACCAAGGCUAUGAUCGGUAGCCGGCCUGAGAGGGCACACGGCCACACUGGCACUGAAACACGGGCCAGACUCCUACGGGAGGCAGCAGUGGGGAAUCUUGCACAAUGGGGGAAACCCUGAUGCAGCGACGCCGCGUGAGCGAUGAAGCCCUUCGGGGUGUAAAGCUCUUUCGGCAGGGACGAUAAUGACGGUACCUGAAGAAGAAG